AGUCCCGCAACGAGCGCAACCCACGUCGUUAGUUGCCAGCAUUUAGUUGGGCACUCCUAGCGAGACCGCCGGUGAUAAACCGGAGGAAGGUGUGGAUGACGUCAAGUCAUCAUGCCCCUUACAUCCUGGGCUACACACGUACUACAAUGCUACGGACAAAGGGCAGCAAACUCGCGAGAGCUAGCAAAUCCCAUAAACCGUGGCUCAGUUCAGAUCGUAGGCUGCAACUCGCCUACGUGAAGGAGGAAUCGCUAGUAAUCGCAGGUCAGCAUACUGCGGUGAAUACGUUCCCGGGCCUUGUACACACCGCCCGUCACACCAU
rnacentral:rRNA from 1 species